rnacentral:rRNA from 1 species
UACGGAGGGUGCGAGCGUUGUCCGGAAUCACUGGGCGUAAAGGGCGCGUAGGCGGCGCGGGCAGUCAACGGUGAAAGCUUGGGGCUCAACCCCGAGUCGGCCGUCGAUACUCCCGGGCUUGAGCACUGUAGAGGCAGGUGGAAUUCCGGGUGUAGCGGUGGAAUGCGUAGAGAUCCGGAAGAACACCGGUGGCGAAGGCGGCCUGCUGGGCAGUAGCUGACGCUGAGGCGCGACAGCGUGGGGAGCAA